GUUCACUUCGGCAGCACAUAUACUACAAUUGGAACAAUACAGUGAUUAGCAUGGCCCCUGAGCAAGGAUUACAUGCAAAUGGGUGAAGCAUUUCAUAUAUAU